ACCAACAGGGAUUGCCUCAGUAACGGCGAGUGAAGCGGCAAUAGCUCAAAUUUGAAAGCUGGCGUCUUCGACGUCCGCGUUGUAAUUUGUAGAGGAUGUUUCGGCGAGGGCUCCUGCCUAAGUUCCCUGGAAUGGGACGUCACAGAGGGUGAGAAUCCCGUAUGUGGCGGGCGGCCUUAGCCAUGUGAAACUCCUUCGACGAGUCGAGUUGUUUGGGAAUGCAGCUCUAAAUGGGAGGUAAAUUUCUUCUAAAGCUAAAUACCGGCCAGAGACCGAUAGCGCACAAGUAGAGUGAUCGAAAGAUGAAAAGCACUUUGGAAAGAGAGUUAAAAAGUACGUGAAAUUGUUGAAAGGGAAGCGCUUGCAACCAGACUCGUUCGCAGUUGCUCAGCCCGCCUCUUGGUGGGUGUACUCUUCUGCGGUCGGGCCAGCAUCAGUUCGGGCGGUCGGAUAAAGGUGUCGGGAAUGUAGCACCCUUCGGGGUGUGUUAUAGCCCGGCGCGGAAUGCGGCCAGCCUGGACUGAGGAUCUCGCUUCGGCAAGGAUGCUGGCGUAAUGGUUGUAAGCGGCCCGUCUUGAAACACGGACCAAGGAGUCUAACAUCUAUGCGAGUGUUUGGGUGUCAAACCCAUGCGCGUAAUGAAAGUGAACGGAGGUGGGAACCCGCAAGGGUGCACCAUCGACCGAUCCUGAUGUCUUCGGAUGGAUUUGAGUAAGAGCAUAGCUGUUGGGACCCGAAAGAUGGUGAACUAUGCCUGAAUAGGGUGAAGCCAGAGGAAACUCUGGUGGAGGCUCGCAGCGGUUCUGACGUGCAAAUCGAUCGUCAAAUUUGGGUAUAGGGGCGAAAGACUAAUCGAACC
rnacentral:rRNA from 1 species